rnacentral:rRNA from 1 species
CCUACGGGUGGCUGCAGUAGGGAAUAUUGCACAAUGGGGGAAACCCUGAAGCAGCAACGCCGCGUGGAGGAUGAAGGUUUUCGGAUUGUAAACUCCUUUUGUUAGAGACGAUAAUGACGGUAUCUAACGAAUAAGCACCGGCUAACUCCGUGCCAGCAGCCGCGGUAAUACGGAGGGUGCAAGCGUUACUCGGAAUUACUGGGCGUAAAGAGCGCGUAGGCGGGAUAGCAAGUCAGAUGUGAAAUCCUAUGGCUUAACCAUAGGACUGCAUUUGAAACUGUUAUUCUAGAGUAUGGGAGAGGUAGGUGGAAUUCUUGGUGUAGGAGUAAAAUGCGUAGAGAUCAAGAGGAAUACUCAUUGCGAAGGCGACCUGCUAGAACAUAACUGACGCUGAUGCGCGAAAGCGUGGGGAGCAAACAGGAUUAGAUACCCGAGUAGUC